GUCACAGAGCUGGACCUUGUCUGCAGAUACAAGGAAAGUAUCUCCUUAGUGCCUGGUAGGCACUUAGGAGAAAGCAGCUGAUUUUCCUAGGCUCAUUUCCAAAUACCUGCGUUCUGUAUCUCAGAGGAAUUGAGGUGUCAAACUGAGCUCUGCAUACAGCACACUGGUGGCUGAGCUGAAAGCAUGGCGGAUGAGUGUAUCCAAGGUCCUGGUUUUGAAUAACAGCAGAUGCCAACGUUUAACUUCAAAAUCAAUCAAUUCUUUUUCCUGCGUGCGGAUAAAAGGUCUAGUGAAGUGCCUGAAGGGGGUUUUCUGCUGUUUACAGCUGAAAAUAUAUUAAAAAAAAUUUCAUUACAAAACUUUCUGCAAGAGAUGCGGAUGCUGGUGAUUUUAUGGAAGUAGCCUGAGGUCAAUGAUUUUCUGCAGCCUGAGGGUGACAAGGAGAGUCUCCAGGGACUUGAUAGUACAGGGACAGGCAAAGCACACCUGUGACACCCCCCAGCAUUCCUGCUGGAAUGGUCUCCUUCUCCCACAAGAAGUUCAAAGGUUUUGGCAACUGCAAACAGCCACCAGUUCAGAAUCAAGGCAAAACAUGUUGGGGGGAAACCUUUACUACUGAAAUAUUUAUAUCAUUCUCUCACCCAUCUUCCCUGAAGAUUUCCUUCUUUAGCAGCUCUGAUCACAUACACAGAGGAAAUACUGUUCAGGACCCUGAAAUAACACCUGCAGCCAGAAAUCUCUUAUUAGAAUAAAUGGUGGGUUUUCAUCCUGGUUUUUCUAGCCGUAGUGAAGAAACAGUUUCUUGAUUUUCUUUCUUAUAUAAAGAUGCUGAUGUAGAGCAUUCUAAAAUGCUUUGGAUAUGCUUAUUUUGAUGUCAGGUCAGUUAUGUUAGAUUCAUAUUUGAAGAUAUGGCUUCGCACUGCAGGAAAUGCAACAAGAAAAACUAAUUUUGAAUUUUAGGAGAGCACAUCUGGGGAAAGAUCUGUUGGUACCCAAAACAUACAGAUGAGCCCUUCUGCAGAAUCGCAUACAUUUACCACACAGGCACAUCUGGCACCUAUA